CAGUCGCCGCGGUAAAACGGAGGGGGCCAGCGUUGUUCGGAAUUACUGGGCGUAAAGCGCACGUGGGCGGCUUGGUAAGUUAGAGGUGAAAGCCCGGAGCUCAACUCCGGAAUUGCCUUUAAGACUGCCGAGCUAGUAGGUGAGAGAGGUAAGUGGAAUUCCGAGUGUAGAGGUGAAAUUCGUAGAUAUUCGGAAGAACACCAGUGGCGAAGGCGGCUUACUGGCUCAUUCUAGACGCUGAGGUGCGAAAGCGUGGGGAGCAAACAAGAUUAGAACCCCGGUAGUCCCUGUCUCUUAUACA
rnacentral:rRNA from 1 species